AUGUACCCACAGAAGGUGCAGGUUGGAGAUACCGAGGCUGAACCUACCCACACUUUUAGCUUGCUUUCUUAUGUUCUUGACGAGAAAGCAUUUUGGCACCGACCGCUGAGUCCACGAGAGCCAGAUUUAUUAACCUGCAGGGAGCUCAAUCUGUUUGAAGAAUGGAAGGUCUCUACCAAGGUUGAUGGUAGUGAAGGUCCAACCAGCAGUGACCCUAUCAGGACGACAGAGGACAUCACUAAUAGAAACAAAAGGACGACAUGCAUGUCCUUAAACGAGACGGCUGACAACUGCGUUGCUUUGAAAAAAAGGGCAAGGAUGUUUCAGAACACAGAUGAGCUGUCGAGCAACAUUCAUCAUGAGAUGCCACACACUUUAGGAACUGUAAGCGCAUCAUCACACGAGAAAGAUCAGUCAUCAAGCGACGCUAAUCUUGGUCAGAUCCAACAAACACCGGUCCAUGGCACCUCUUCAGCUACCAACAAAGACUUCCCAUGGGACGACCCUGAUAUGGUAGCGCAGUUGAUCGAGUCUACCGAUAGGAUUGAGGAAGAGUGGUUUUCACAACAAAGACAAACUCAGUAUACCACAUCAGUUACACAAGACAUCCACAUAUCAGAGAUCAAGCCCAAUGAGAUUUGUUGCAACUUCACCUCAAAUCCAGUCGAAAGUGCUGUUUUCAGCGACAUUGUGUCACGAAUACCACCCCAUUCAAGGCAAAAGAGCCCAAGAAUAGUACAAAUGGGCUCGACAUGGGUUGAACAUAGGGUUUUUGGCCUGAGCAUGCAAGUGUAUGGCCGGGUCAAUAAGUACUUGAUCAAUAUGUUGGGAAAAGCAGUAAUGGCCGAGCAAACCGAAAAGGAGAGGCUCAAUCUUCUCCCGCGAAGUUACUGGUCAAGAUACUAUGUUGAAUGCAACACUGCUAAAUUAUUCCAAAAUGCAUUUGAAACUCCAUUGGCGUUAUCUGUUCACCUGAGGGAGACAAUGAUAGGAUUCCAUCUUGACCGAAUUCACAUGGUGUUUUUACCUUUAAGCUCAUACAGUUUCUGGUACACGGUUGUUGCUAACUUUAGGAAGAAAUUGUUCGAAGUCCUCUGCCCAAACAACAGAAUCGACUUGAUUGCUCACGAAGCUCAGCUUGUAAUCAAGAAUUUCAAAGCGGCUUUCAAGCUGGCAUACAAGAGAUCACAACUAAAUGUGACUGACAUGGGUGUGUCUUUCCGGAGUGUGUGCUCUUUAACUAAAGAGGCAGAUUGUGGGAUCUUCACAAUGAAGUUGGUACAAGGACAUGAUGGAGACAACACUUUGUGUUUCUAA
rnacentral:rRNA from 1 species